AUCCGAAUUUCCACUCCAUGAUUGCCUUUCUUGUCUGCUUAUUGUACUUGGAAAGGAUGCAAACAAGUGAAUUUACUGUUGAUUAGGCAGUCCUUGUUACCCUAAAAAUCAGGGAUUUUUGCCCAAAAAAGUGCUCCAUUCUUUGAUUCACCUCACUCAUUGGGUUGUACUAUUUCCUUCAGUCACAAAAUCCUGUUUAGAUGAGAUGUUUGCUUUUGUCCCUAAAAAGUCUUUGACUUAUUUUUCUGCCUUUAGAUGUAUUUUAAUUGUACCCUCCGAAUUUUAUCACCAUCUGAUUGAAGCAAAAGUUUUCCAAAUUUUCAGACGGGAGUUGUUAGGAUUUUGGUGCUGAAAUUCAGUGAAUAUAUUGACCAUUUUAGUGAAAAAAAAAAAGACGAGAAAUAGCCCAUUUCCUUUCAUUCUCCCUCUUUAUUUCUCACGUAUAUACACAAGAAAAAGGAGACACAGAGAGGCCAAGAUGCAGACAACAAGGAAUUGUUUCUAUUUUUCUCUACCGAGUUGCCAAGAAGCAGACAACAAGGAAUUGUUUCUAUUAAUUUCUACCGAGUGGUAGGGAGGUAUGGCUAAAGGGCGCUUCACCAGUCAUCGUGAUUGUAUUGGUUAUGGUUGUAUCUGUUUACAUCUCCAGCUGCAAGGACACAAGAAAUUGAGCAACGUUCAUGGAAACGGGUAUUAUGUUUAUUGCAACCAUGUCCAAGACAAGACCUGGAGCAUAUAAAAGGAUAAUAGAUGUCAUUGCAUCAGUACCCAUUCAGAGUCAAUCCAGGUACUUCAUUCAUGUGGAGGUAGGUAUAUAUGUAGAGAUUGUGGAAGUGUGGGUACAUAAAACGAAUAUAGUUUUGACUGAGUAUGGUAAAAAUGUAACCAAAAUCACAAUGAAUUUCCAAAGCUCCAAACAAACGAAACUGCCACUGUUUGUAAGGACUUCUGACUGCAAUUUAUAAUUAAUGUAUAUGCUUUAGUAGGAUCACAACAUUUCAGUUUUAAUGAAUGGUUUGUAGUAAAAGACAAGGUAUGAAAAACAGGGGACAUCAAGUUUUCCUUUCUUCACUACACUAUAGCACUUUGCCAUAUGUUGCAGUUCAUUGAAGCUUUUUAAAAAUUUUUAGUAUUUGAAAAAUUAGAUUUUGAAAAACUAGUGGAUCCAAACAGAGUCAAUUUGAGAAUCUCUGUACGGAUAUACAAUCUUUGAAUAUUCUUUCUACUGAUAGAGUUAAUAGUAUUAUUGCCAAAGAAAUAAGCUUUCUGCAAAGAUGUUAGCACUUUUUAUGAUGGGAGAGUAAUUCAAUCAUCCAGUAUGUUGUUAAAUUUAGAUAUUGUACUGAGUAGAAUGUAUGAAUUAAAUAAUCUUAAUAAUGCAGGAUGAUGUGUUAAAUUGUAGUAGUACUCCAAGGAGUAUAGAUUGCUGCACGAAGCAAAUGAGCUUGAAGAAUUGAGGUAUUGAAAUUCAAAAGCCACUGUAACUUUGUAGAGCUAGACAUAGUAGAGAUACAAAGUGUGCAUGUUUGAUAUUGUUGAAAUCUUGUGCUUCAAAUGAAUAUAAGCAACUAGGCCUUUAUGUAAAACUAAGAUAAAGCCGUUCCAUAUCUGACUUUAGUACCAUAUUGCACACAAAUUCAAUAACAUAGAUAAUAGAAAUUUUCCGUAAACACAAAGCCUGAUCAACUAAAUAAUUGGAAUAGACUUGUUGCAAUGUACUAGAAGGCUUCUUUGCUGCAUUAAAAGGAAAGCUUCAAUGAACUGCAACAUACGGCAAAGUGCUAUAAGGUAGUGAAGAAAGGAGAACUUGAUGUCUCCUGUUUUUCAUACCCUGCCUUUUACUACACACCUUUUCAUUAAAACUAAAAUGUUGUGAUCCUACUAAAGCAUAUACGUUAAUUAUAAAUUGCAGUCAGAAGUCCUUACAAACAGUGGCAGUUUUGUUUGUUUGAAAUUCUGGGAAUCUCCUGUUCAUUGUGAUUUUGGUUACAUUUUCACUAUCUCCAAUCAAAGCUAUAUUUGUCUUAUUUACCCACACUUUCACAAUCUCCACAUAUAUACCUGCCUCCACAUGAAUGAAGUACCUGGAUUGACUCUGAAUGGGUGCUGAUGCAAUGACAUCCAUUAUCCUUCUAUAUGCUCCAGGUCUUAUCUUGGACACGAUUGCAUUAAACAUAAUACCGUUUCCAUGAACGUUGCUCAAUUUCUUGUGUCCUUGCAGCUGGAAAUGUAUGGCAGAUGAAGAUUUAGAAGUUCAUUUUGGUUCUGCAGUGGCACAAAUAUUGCAUACAGGAUUUAAAUUUUCAGCAAGCUUUAUUUACUAUCUCUUUUCCUUUCUUUUUCUUUUUCAUAAACUUUUUCUUUAUCUAUUUCAUAGCAUAUGAAGCUUAUUAAAAUGCCAUUACAUUUCAUUGUUUGCAGCUGUUAAAGGUAAUCGUUUCAUGGCCAAGUACAUAACUUUGGAAAACUCAGCAGGAGAAGCCACUCAAGCUGUUGCCCUAAUGUCCCAGUCUGACAGAUCAUCAUUUUACAGAUGUACAUUUUUAGGGUUCCAUGACACACUCUGUGCACACUUUGGCAGGCAAUUCUAUAAGGAGUGUGACAUCUACGGCACUGUUGAUUUUGUGUUUGGCAAUGCUGCGGCAGUCUUUCAAAGCGGCAACCUAUUUGCACGGUUGCCUAACCGUGUUAUUACUUUCACUGCAUAGGGAAAAAGGUCACGCGAUGAGAUUAGUGGAUUUGUCAUUCAAAAUUCCACUUUGACAGCAGCCCCAGAUUUGCAGUCCAACAAAUCUCAGGUUCAUGCUUUUCUUGGAAGACCAUGGUUUGCAUGGUCAACCGUGAUUGUGAUGCAAUCUUUCUUGGAAAGCAUCAUAGAUCCAGCUAGGUGGUAUGAGUGGCCAGGCCAUCGCACAGAUGAGCUAACCUACAGAGAAUACGGUAAUUGGGGUGCUGGUGCAGAUACAGGGAGACGAAUUUCAUGGGUGGGAUAUAAAGCAUUAAAUCGGUCCAAGGAAGUCAUUGCUUUCACAGUUUCUAAGUUUAUUCAGGCGGAUUCUUGGAUUCCAGAGUCUGGAAUCCUUUACACCAGCGGUUUAUAUUAGCAUGAGCCUAUAGGCCAUAUCUUUGAAAUCCCUUAUACCAGCAGUCUAUUUUAGUAUGAGGCCAUUAUAUGGUGUUUCUGUAAUGACUUGAAAGACUUUGCUAGACUGUGAAUGGAGAUAUGUUCACUACUUUACUAGCCAUUAAGUAUGACAUCGCUGGACUAUGAAUGGAGCAAAGUAUUUCCGA